AAAGUCGUAACAAGGUUUCCGUAGGUGAACCUGCGGAAGGAUCAUUAAUGAAAAACAAGUCGAUGGAUUGUGCUGGCGCUCUGCGCAUGUGCAUGUCUGUCGCAAAUCCACACACCUGUGCACUUUAGACUCGGAGUGAGCAGCCUUAGGGUUUGCACCUCGGAGUAUUUUUUACACACACUGCAUGUAAAAGGAUGAUGUUAGUGCUUAUGCACAAAAAACAUACAACUUUCAACAACGGAUCUCUUGGCUCUC
rnacentral:misc_RNA from 1 species